UGCAUUGGGGUGCUGUGCAGUGCAUUGGGGUGCUGGGCUGUGUAAUGCACCCCCAACUUCGACGGCGGCUGCGCGCCCGGUGAGCUGCAACGCGACGCUUCGGGCCCCCGAGCUGCGCCGUCGGAGCAUCCCCGUGCACAGACCCAAGCUCUGCAGCGGGACCUGGACCUCUGCACCUCUGCAGGGUGCUGAGCUUAGAGGAAGAGCAUCAGCAGCAUGGGUGUGGGCCAGAGGGAGGUGAGCACUGCCCCGAAGACCACAGCAGCGCUCGAGGCCUCAUUUCCUUUGCAGUCGCGGCAUCGUCGAUGCCUUGGCGGAGAGCGGGAGGCUGCCCAGCGUGGUGGCUGCAGCCUUCGUCACCGUGGCUCUGAGUGAUGGAGGAUGAGGAGGGCUACACCACGCUGAAUUUUGGGGCAAAAUGCAGCGCCCCGCGGAGGCAGCAAGGUGGUGGGAUGGCAGGAUCCCCUCGACGCCAGUACCUGAUCACCAGUGCCGGGUGGGCUUUGAGCACCGGUUUGGGCAUAGCGGUGAUAAUCCUGGGGCUAAGGGUCUGGCAAUGGCAUGGCUCGGGACGGUGCUAUGCGACUCUCAAUUCGUCAGCCACCGAUGCUGAAAACAGGGAGAAUGGAUGCAGAGGCUGCCUGGGUAGAUUGCGGCUGCAGCUGAAAGCAGCCCUGUGCAACGCACCCGAGACGGAUGACAGAGAGUGCCGGCUGUGUCCUCGGGACUGGUUGCAGCACGGGAACUGGUGUUACUGGGUGUCCCACGAGAGCCGGGACUGGCAGAGGAGCCGGGAUGACUGCGCCCAAAAGGGCUCUGCCCUCUUCGUCAUCCGGAACCGGGAGCAGAUGCACGUGCUCCAGGAUGUCACGCAGGGAAGGGGCUACGUCUGGAUCGGGCUGGCGGUGACAGGGGCCAAAGGCACCUGGACGUGGCUGGACGGCUCCGUGCUGGACACCAAGCAGGCAAAAACAGAGAGAGAACCGUAAAAGGAAGCGGGCUUCAAGCCCGCGAUCCCAAGAAGCUCCAAGGAACUCCAUCAUCCUCUAAGGUGGUCAAAAAACCACCACUUUCAAGUAAAGAAAAGCCCCAAAUAAUAAUAUCACGGGCCUGACCCUGCGUUCCUGGGCAGGUUCCUCUCCGUGGGCUCCUCCGUGAGCCCUCGGUGCACCGCGGCCGGAUGCUUUCGCGUCCUCCCUGAAGGCGAACGUCCUCUUACGCCACGAGCAGAGCUGCUCCUCCUCUCCGCCUCCUUCCAGGCCCAAGAGCUUCAGCUUCUCCGCCAAAUGCUCCAGGUGGAGUUUGGGCUGGAAAUUCCCUUUCCUGAGAUGGUUUCGGUGGCUGACGGCCUCGGCGUCUCCGAGUCUUCCUCGCUCCGGCCGGGAUUUGGCUGCACCACCUCCGCCGCUCAGGUGCUCAGGAUCCGGCCGAUGCUUCGUGGCAGUGUGGUGGGUGCCUUCCUCUCCCCUUUCCCUCGCUCGAGAAGCAGCAGAAGCCAUGGCAGCAUCUCCAGCCUCUCCCCUUCCUCUUCCCCUCGCCGCCUGCACUGGGGUGAACAUAUCAAAGGUCUCAGCACGGGUGGAGGAAGGAGGAGCAGUGGAGGGAGGCUCAGAUCUCUUCUGGAAGUCGAUUUUUGGAAGGGAUGGAUCACCCGCUGGCAAGACCCCCCCCCCCCUUUUUUUUCCUAUUUGCUACCGAUGUGGAUGUUAACCUCUGUCUUUCAGGCAUCUGGCACAAGCUUCAUCUCUUUUAAGUCUCCAUCACAGGUGAAGAUGUCUCAGAUUGGUGUCUCCAGUCCCUGGGGGGUGGGCUAGAGAAGGAGCCAAGCAUCCCACCCAGCAUAAUCAGACAUUUCACCCCCAAAAGCUCAGGUUCUAACCUGCUGUUUGUGCUUCCUCCUCCUUCGGAGUCUGCUAGGAGAGACCUUGGUGCAAUCUUCCCAUGGGAGCAGCAGCCAAGCUGCUUUAAGGGCAGAAAGGCAGUGGGACAACCAGCGAGACACCAAUUCCUCUCGAAGGUGAAAACUACCUCAAAUUGCUAAAUAGCCCUAAAAAAAACACCAACCUGAAGCCUUCCGCAGCAACAUGACCCCCCCUUGCCAUCAGCUUAAUCCACCCAGAUGGACCACACAGGGCGCAAAGCCGAUUUUUAUCCAUCCCUGGAAAAACAUCUCCGCGACGCCAGGAUGCUGCAAGGAGAAGCCAUACGGGCUGCAGGCAUCAUCCGAGAAGACCUGGAGAUCCCCAUGCUGAACCAGCUGCAAAAAGAAAUCAAAUUCUCCAGAGAGGCUCAAGUGGUUUAUUGUGAGCUGGUACCUACCAGUUGCUGAUGCCGUGGUGGGGCAAAAGACAAGAUUUAAUUUAAUUUUAUUUUUUUUACAGGUAGCUAGGAAGAAGCAGACGUUAACGAGGAGUUCAUUGGUGCUAUUAAAGUGCAGUGAAAG